UACCAGCACCCCGAGUGGUCGGGACGUUUAUUGGGCCUAAAGCAUCCGUAGCCGGUUCUACAAGUCUUCCGUUAAAUCCAACUGCUUAACAGGUGGGCUGCGGAAGAUACUAUAGAGCUAGGAGGCGGGAGAGGCAAGCGGUACUCGAUGGGUAGGGGUAAAAUCCGUUGAUCCAUUGAAGACCACCAGUGGCGAAGGCGGCUUGCCAGAACGCGCUCGACGGUGAGGGAUGAAAGCCUGGGGGGAGCAAACCGG
rnacentral:rRNA from 1 species